UCUCUGAAUCUUAGUUAGUCCCGAAGUCUGAACCUUCAGAGAUCUGUCCAGUGCAACUUCUACCCGGCAUCUUGCAGACUGAGGGAAAAAAAUGUUUUCUACAAUGAAUCAACUAAGUGUAGUAAUGGCGUUAUUACGUUUUGCUUCCGGAAAAAUAGUCCAAGGAACUAUGUAGAAGAUAAAUUGGAUUGUGUCAAGAGUUGAGUUAAACUACUCCAUGGUAUUACUGCUUUGGUGUCCAUUUUGUUUGGCCAAGAAACCUGCAGUGACUUUAAACUGACACUAGCCCCCUCAUUCAAGCACAUGCCCUAAACAGCAGCCUGCAGAGUCACAAGCAAAUGAGAUAGUGUCGGGGAAGCUGCUGCCAGCAGAGGAGGCCAAAACAAAAGCACGAGCCUACACUGAUGCACUGAAAAUGACAAAUUCACCAAAAC